UACGGAGGGUGCAAGCGUUAAUCGGAAUUACUGGGCGUAAAGCGCACGCAGGCGGUCUGUCAAGUCGGAUGUGAAAUCCCCGGGCUCAACCUGGGAACUGCAUUCGAAACUGGCAAGCUAGAGUCUUGUAGAGGGGGGUAGAAUUCCAGGUGUAGCGGUGAAAUGCGUAGAGAUCUGGAGGAAUACCGGUGGCGAAGGCGGCCCCCUGGACAAAGACUGACGCUCAGGUGCGAAAGCGUGGGGAGCAAACAGGAUUAGAUACCCUGGUAGUCUACGCCGUAAACGAUGUCGAUUUGGAGGUUGUGCCCUUGAGGCGUGGCUUCCGGAGCUAACGCGUUAAAUCGACCGCCUGGGGAGUACGGCCGCAAGGUUAAA
rnacentral:rRNA from 1 species